rnacentral:rRNA from 1 species
CACCACCUGUGCACAUUUUGUAGGCUUGGAUAAAUAUGUCUCGAGGAAGCUCGGUUUGAGGACUGCCGUGCUGCAAAAGCCAGGCUUUCCUUGUAUUUUUCCAGCCUAUGCAUUUUAUUAUACACUCGGUAUGUCAUGGAAUGUUAUUUGGUUGGCUUAAUUGCCAGUAAACCUUAUACAACUUUCAACAACGGAUCUCUUGGCUCUCGCAUCGAUGAAGAACGCAGCGAAAUGCGAUAAGUAAUGUGAAUUGCAGAAUUCAGUGAAUCAUCGAAUCUUUGAACGCACCUUGCGCUCCUUGGUAUUCCGAGGAGCAUGCCUGUUUGAGUGUCAUGAAAUUCUCAACCUUUUCAGCUUUUUGUUGAAUAGGCUUGGAUUUUGGGAGUUGUUGCAGGCUGCUCAGAAGUCUGCUCUCCUUAAAUGUAUUAGCGGGGCCCUUGUUGUCUAGCAUUUGGUGUGAUAAUUAUCUACGCCAUUGUGAACAAUGUAAUAGGUCGGCUUCUAAUCGUCUCGUAAAGAGACAAUCUCUGACAU